UAACACGCAAUGAGCACAUAGUGAAUUAUUCUUUUGCCUUUUACUAAGGAAUACCGUGAGCUCAUUACAAAUACUGAUAUACGCCUAUUUUUGAAGGAGAAAUCCCGACAACACU